CCCUUUGCUUUUCUUUUGGAAAAACUGGGAGUACCCACGUCUUCCCCGGCUGAGGACAGACUUGGCCUUUCCUCCGAGAUGUGACUUGAAGGAGUGCAUUCUGCAGAGGGCGAAGGAGCCUAGCUUCACUAGGGUGCCGAGGUCGGAGAGAAGGCUUCUCCGUCAAAUGGGAAGGGAAUAGGAAAGGAGGAGGGAUGAUGCAGAACAGUUGAAGACACUCGACCUGAGGAUCAAAUUGUGGAAUAAAAAAUAAGUACGUAAACUUCCCCCAGGGAAUUGUUUUGCUGCUUGGGGUGGGUGGAAAGGGCAGGAAAAGGUGUGUCAGGGGAUACUUGGUUUUCUCCCAAUCUGAAUUCAGAUGUAAUAGUUCAUGUUCAAAACCAGGGAAGCUGGACCUUGGAAGUGGCUUUCGAAAAGCCACAAUCUGUGUUAGACACAGGAUGUGUCUAACAAGCCCACGAGAGGGACAGUGACCCUCUGAGUUCUAUGUGACCACCAAUCUUAGGAAUUCUGGGCAGCGCUGAGCUUAAAAAUGUGAAACUUCCGAGUGGAUUUCCGGGCCAGUAAUGAAGCUGGGAGGAGGUCACAUGUCUUAGGUCCCUUUUAACUCCUUAGAGAUGAGCUGGGGUGUGUGCGUGCGUGUGCUCGCUAACUCCAUAGGAACGGGCCUUUGGGUUUUGCCUGCAUAAGCAAAGGGACUGGACAGGCUCAGUGCUGUCACUGUCAGCCGUUAGUACUCAGUACUACGGCAGACGGGCAGCCACCCUGGCAGAGGCUAAACCCCCACCACUUCCCCCUCCUCUGAACGCUUUGGUUUUUAAAAGCAAAUGCCUUGAGGCCCAACUUGUUGAGUAACUGAUUCACUUCUGUGCAUUUUCCCUAAGUCCCUUCAGCUCACUUCUGCUGUCAUUUUCAGGCGUGAAAACCUGGAGCCAUCAUAUCAUGACAAAAUAGCCUGGUGCUGACCUUCUACCCAAGGGACGGUGGGAGAGACAGAAAAAUAUCGCAACAAGAUAGUGAAGUGAAUUAUGCAGGAUGGGUGAGAGGAGACAGAAAAAAUAACAAGAUGAUGACGUGGAUUAUGCAGUAUAUAGACGAAAUCUUAGAAAACACAGAAAAUGAAGACGCAGAAAACAAAAAGCCAGCCGCUAGGAUCUUCCUUCAGUAACAGCAAACGACUCUGUUGCAAGGCUGUCCAGGACGGUCGACUCUGAUCACACAUGGCUUUGAGUCCCGGAAAGGGGGCUUCUCUGAUGUGCUAUAAGGGAUUUCAAGUACUUUGUAGGGGAAGAAAAGAGAGAGAAUGUAAAAUAGCUCAUCAGUAAUUGUUAUAUUGCAGACAUGCUGAAAAUACAUUUUUGCCAUAGGGCAGGCACCACUACGCCCUGAACAUAUAUAUUUUAUAUAUAAUGGGUUACAUAAAGUCGAUGAUUAAUUUCA